GCCUUCGUGGUGUAGUGGUCAGCACACUCGAUGCAUAUUCGAGAGGUCCAUGGUUCGAGUCCUGGCGAGGGCA
rnacentral:tRNA from 1 species